rnacentral:tRNA from 3 species
CGGGGUAUAGCUCAGCCUGGUAGAGCGUUGCGUUUGGGACGCAAAAGUCGGGGGUUCGAAUCCCUCUACCCCGACCA